CACCAGGUUGAUUCUGCCUGACGUGGACGCUAGCCUUGAAGAUUAAGCCAUGCAAGCUUGUGAAUAUUAUAUAUGAAACAGUGAACGGCUCAGUAUAACACGUCUAUCUACCCCAUAUUAUUUAUAACCACGGGAAACUGUGGCUAAGUAUUAGGAUGAGGAUGUGACCUAUCAGCUUGACGGUACGGUAAGUGCGUACCGUGGCUAUAACGGGUAACGGGGAAUAUGGGUUUUAUUCCGGAGAGGGAGCCUGAGAGAUGGCUGCCACGUCCAAGGACGGCAGCAGGCGCGAAACUUACCCAAUGAACAUUGAGGUAGUUACGAGGCGUAUUAUUAGUGUAUAUGGUGUGUAUAAACAGCACACCGAAGUACUGGAGGGCAAGUCUGGUGCCAGCAGCCGCGGUAAUACCAGCUCCAGUAGCGUCUGUGUUUAUUGCUGCGGUUAAAAUGUGCGUAGUCUGGUUAGUGGUCUGGAGUAAAUCUUUUGUAUCUAACAACAGGGUAUUCUAGAGACUUAUACCUUGAGACAGGGAAGAGGCGAUGAUAUUUGGUAGCGAGAGGUGAAAAUCGAUGACCUACCAAGGAGCACCGGAGGCGAAAGCGAUCGCCGAGAACUGUUCUGACGAUCAAGCGCGUGAGCAGGAGUAUCGAAGAGGAUUAGAGACCCACGUAGUUCCUUGCAGUCAACGAUGCCAACGCUGUGGUGGUAUUUACCAUUGCAGAGGCGAAAGCUAGUGUAUGGGCUCCGGGGAUAGUACGGACGCAAGUUUGAAACUUGAAGAAAUUGACGGAAGGACACCACAAGGAGUGGAGUGUGCGGGUUAAUUUGACUCAACGCGGGAAAACUUACCCGGGCAGGCAAUUGUCGAGGGAAGCUAUUGUAGCUGAUGAUAUUGCGCGUGGUGCAUGGCCGUUCUUAACACGUGGAGUGAUCUGUCUGGUCAAAUCUGAUAACGCGUGAGAGGUGAGUGGUUGCUUUUGUGACUAGACGGUGUCUGUAAAGACAAGGAAGCGACACCCAAUAACAGGUCUGUGAUGCCCGUAGAUGUCCGGGGCUCCACGCGCACUACAAUGGGUGGUAGUAUUAGUAAAGUGUAGCUAGCCGUAGUUGGGAUUGACAUAUGUAAUUAUGUCAUGAACGUGGAAUUCCUAGUAGUUGGUAGUCACUAACGACUAACGAAUGUGUCCCUGUUCUUUGUACACACCGCCCGUCGUUAUCUAAGAUGGAAGUGCGGGUGAAGAUGCGAGCAGUCAGGUGAUGGGGAUAAGUGUUUGUGAGUAAUGAAUGCUUGGAACUGUUGCUGGUAAAUGAUUGUGAGUGUAAGAACCCGUGCAGCUAAAUUGGAUGUAAGUCGUAACAAGGUAACC
rnacentral:rRNA from 1 species